CACGCCAAUCGCACUCGAUUCGCUUUAGAUGGGAUGCAGAUAUUUGCAGACGUUCGAAAGUCGGACUGUGCUAAUGUCGAUGUCGAUGUCGAUGAGGUCGAGAUCUGUUUUAGUUGCCUCCUUGGCGCCUUACGUUUUGUUGUUGCCUUUCCUUGUGGUUUCUCUUCACGAUUCUUCUCUGUGUUUGCUGUAUUGGUUCUCAGUCUUCUUGUGUGAGCUGUAAAACGAC